AAUAUAACUGGAAACAUGAGAGACCACUUUAUUUGGAUGUGCUAAAAAUAGCUGGACGAAUGGCAGGAGCCGCACCGAAGACUCACUGCAGGACGAGCAAUCAAUAGGCGGAGAGAAGGAUGGAGGCUCCCCUAUGCUCCUGGAUCGACAAUUGACAGCUGAGAGACUAUUUUUUGCUAUGGUUGACUAAAUAUGGUCAGGGAGUAGAGAGACACUGGAGAGGUUGUUCUGCCUGCAAGUGCAUGUUUCAAAUGUCUAGCAGCCUAUAAAGCUCUAACAGUUUUGCUUGUGCCCUCUGAGUGUGAAAUGCCAGCCAGCCAGCCUCUGUCUUCUUUCUCUUUCUUUCUCUGUCAUGUGUGGGAUCCCCCCCAUGACCUCCUGCCCCUGUUAGACAUGACCCUGCAGGCUAAAAAAGUACUCCAUUCAAGCGGAUGCAUGAUGCUGCAUCUUCAACUAUCUGAGAUGAUCUUCAACAAAAGCAACACCGGACAACAAGAAAAUUACAAAAAGCAAGAAAGGAAAUCAAGAGACUGCUAUUCCACUUGAAGAUUUAAAAAAAAAAAAAUAGGUGAUGGAAAUGCAAAACUUUUUUUCUUUUUUUUCCCUCUUUUCCUUCUGGGUGUCUCAACUUUUUGGCUCUUGUGAAUUACACUUUUCAUUCAGUGCAUACCACGAAAUCUACAUAUUUCUCUCAGCAAAAACCCGUCAGGAUGACAACAACAAAGGUGUUGCUUAAUAAAUUUUUUAAAAAGGGCUGGAACUGAAGUUUAAAAAAAAAAAUAAAAGAAGGUCACUGAAUAACUGCAGUUUAUAUAGAAUGGCAAAGUAAUAUACUAACAGGCAUUAAGGCAAGACAGUUUGAAUUUUUGUGGGAAUCUUUCUCUUUUUUUUUUUUUUCCUCUUUUCUACCUAAAAGGUAAGGCAGAAUCGCUUCUCCCUCACACUACCCCCCACCCCCCUCUUCUGCUCAGAGGAGCUGAUUCAGCGAGUAGCGUGCACUCUGGAUGCGAUGGCUGCUGCAGAUGCCUCUCUCUGUAGGUCAUUAGAUCUGCUUUAACUAAAAAAGGCUGCUCGGCUCGAACAGGACAGCUCUCUGGAGGACACAUGAGGUCAACAGCAAAGACACAGCAAAAUGGAUUGAAAAAUGUUUCAUACACAAGAUACAAGCCCACUUUUAUUCUGGCUCAUUGGAGGUAAGUACUACUACUUCAGGACAUGAGGAAGCGCACUCGCUGACAGUAUCAUCUCUUUUUCCUCCCACAGCCCGAGAAACCACCCACUGAGGGCAACCGACUCCGCCAUUUUUGGUCCCUCCACUGUGAAGCCGAGGUGCACCCAGCAAGGGUCGUCUCAUUCCGGAGAGAACAGGCCUAAGAAUGGAGCUCCCACCUGAGUACUGACUACAUUAAGAGAACACUGAAUCCUCCUGUUUACUC